rnacentral:rRNA from 1 species
CCUACGGGUGGCAGCAGUGAGGAAUAUUGGUCAAUGGCCGGAAGGCUGAACCAGCCAAGCCGCGUGAAGGACGAAGGUGCCAAGCAUUGUAAACUUCUUUUGUCAAGGGACAAAAUCAGGCUCGAGAGCCUGACCGAGGGUACUUGAAGAAAAAGCAUCGGCUAACUCCGGCCCCCCGCCCGCGGUAAUACGGGGGAUGCGAGCGUUAUCCGGCUUUAUUGGGUUUAAAGGGUGCGUAGGCGGACUGUUAAGUCAGCGGUAAAAGCCCGGGGCUCAACCCCGGCGAGCCGUUGAACCUGGCUGUCUUGAGAUGUCGAGAGGUAUGCGGAAUGCGCAGUGUAGCGGUGAAAUGCUUAGAGAUUGCGCAGAACUCCGAUUGCGAAGGCAGCAUACCGGCGGCGAUCUGACGCUGAGGCACGAAAGCGUGGGUAUCGAACAGGAUUAGAUAGCCUUGUAGUC